rnacentral:rRNA from 1 species
CACGUCGGGCGCGAGCGUUGUCCGGAAUUAUUGGGCGUAAAGAGCUCGUAGGCGGCCUGUUGCGUCCGCUGUGAAAGCCCGGGGCUUAACCCCGGGUCGGCAGUGGAUACGGGCAGGCUAGAGGUAGGUAGGGGAGAAUGGAAUUCCCGGUGUAGCGGUGAAAUGCGCAGAUAUCGGGAGGAACACCGGUGGCGAAGGCGGUUCUCUGGGCCUUACCUGACGCUGAGGAGCGAAAGCGUGGGGAGCGAACAGG